rnacentral:rRNA from 1 species
UACGGAGGGUGCGAGCGUUGUCCGGAAUCAUUGGGCGUAAAGGGCGCGUAGGUGGCCCCUCAAGCGUGCGGUGAAAGUCAGGGGCUCAACCCCUGAUCGGCCGUGCGAACUGGGGAGCUUGAGCACUGUAGAGGCAGGCGGAAUUCCGGGUGUAGCGGUGGAAUGCGUAGAGAUCCGGAAGAACACCGGUGGCGAAGGCGGCCUGCUGGGCAGUUUGCUGACACUGAGGAGCGAAAGCGUGGGGAGCGGAACAGGAUUAGAAACCCUU